AUGGCUCCCAUCAUGGUCCGUAUCUCAGUCCUACUGGUUCCCCUGGACUGGGAUCUCGCGGAACGUUGUGGCCAUGGUGGAGGGCAUGGCGUGAAACAAGCAUCACUCCAUUGGGUUUCCUCAAAGUUUUCAUGUCUACAAGACACAGUUAGAAAUUUGGCAGCCUGUUGCUUCAAACAAAGCUUCUGGAAUCAUCUGCCUGGAGCUUUACUUGUUGUAUGGUGGGUGGUCUUCCGAAAGCUACAAAGGCCACUGUGGCUCCUACUUCCACAUGCCAUGCCUAGUGGUAGUUUGACUUCAAGUGGACAAAGCAAGACACGACAAUGCUAG
rnacentral:rRNA from 1 species